rnacentral:rRNA from 1 species
CAGUAUGCAGGCGGGCUGGACCUCUCGGGGUUACAGCCUUGCUGAAUUAUUCACCCUUGUCUUUUGCGUACUUCUUGUUUCCUUGGUGGGUUCGCCCACCACUAGGACAAACAUAAACCUUUUGUAAUUGCAAUCAGCGUCAGUAACAAAUUAAUAAUUACAACUUUCAACAACGGAUCUCUUGGUUCUGGCAUCGAUGAAGAACGCAGCGAAAUGCGAUAAGUAGUGUGAAUUGCAGAAUUCAGUGAAUCAUCGAAUCUUUGAACGCACAUUGCGCCCUUUGGUAUUCCAAAGGGCAUGCCUGUUCGAGCGUCAUUUGUACCCUCAAGCUUUGCUUGGUGUUGGGCGUCUUGUCUCUAGCUUUGCUGGAGACUCGCCUUAAAGUAAUUGGCAGCCGGCCUACUGGUUUCGGAGCGCAGCACAAGUCGCACUCUCUAUCAGCAAAGGUCUAGCAUCCACUAAGCCUUUUUUUCAACUUUUGACCUCGGAUCAGGUAGGGAUACCCGCUGAACUUAAGCAUAUCAAAAGGCGGAGGAA